rnacentral:rRNA from 1 species
AUUGAACGCUGGCGGCAUGCCUUACACAUGCAAGUCGGACGGCAGCACGGGUGCUUGCACCUGGUGGCGAGUGGCGAACGGGUGAGUAAUACAUCGGAACAUACCUUAUCGUGGGGGAUAACGCAGCGAAAGUUGCGCUAAUACCGCAUACGCCCUGAGGGGGAAAGCGGGGGACCGUAAGGCCUCACGCGAUUAGAGCGGCCGAUGUCUGAUUAGCUUGUUGGUGAGGUAAAAGCUCACCAAGGCGAUGAUCAGUAGCUGGUCUGAGAGGACGAUCAGCCACACUGGAACUGAGACACGGCCCAGACUCCGACGGGAGGCAGCAGUGGGGAAUUUUGGACAAUGGGGGCAACCCUGAUCCAGCAAUGCCGCGUGAGUGAAGAAGGCCUUCGGGUUGUAAAGCUCUUUUGUCAGGGAAGAAACAGCAGCUCUAACACAGUCUGCGAAUGACGGUACCUGAAGAAUAAGCACCGGCUAACUACGUGCCAGCAGCCGCAGUAA